CUUGACUUUGUUUUCUACAUACUUAUUGUUCUUGGUGGUUGCAAACAGGUUUUACUAUCUUCUGUUCAUUUAAUUUGAUAAGGUUAUAUCAGGGAUUUUUUUUUAAUAUGAUAAGGAUGUAGCCACACUUUCAGCUCUAUGGUAUAGCGAUGAUUUUUGUUUUAAGGUAUGAGAAACUUUUAUCUGGUAGCCACUCAUUCAUGUUGAGUUUUCCAUGAUCUUAUCUUUGUUGUGCAGUUGCGGGGUAUUUUUUCUUUUUUUUCUAACUGAUCUUUUCAGGCUCAACUUGUAAACUACAUACAAUACAGAGCUCUUCUUGAGGGAUGGACUUCCUGCUUAUGGCGCAAGUAUACAGGUGUGUUGAUUUGGAAAACACAAAAUCCUUGGACUGGUCUGAGAGGCCAAUUUUAUGAUCAUCUUCUCGACUAUGGCUGUCGAUGCGCUGCAGAGCCAAUUCAUGUACAGCUUAAUCUAGAUACAUACUUUAUAGAAGCUGUUAAUACUACAUCAGAGAAAUUGUCUAAUAUGUCUAAUGGAAGAUCUAGAUGGAAUGUGUCCAUACUACAAAGUUCAUGAAAGCUUUCACUAUGCUACCUAAAACAGUAACACCUAUUUUUGAGAUGGACUAUCCCAAGUCGGAACACGCAAAGCCGGUCUACUUUCUUUUGCUCAAACUCUAUGACAAAUCGAAUAACAGAGUUUUAUCAAGAAACUUAUAUUGGUUGCACCUUCCUGGUGGAGACUACAAACUACUGGAGCCAUAUAGGAAGAAGAAAAUACCACUCAAGAUAACAUCAGAGAUUUUUGUCAAAGGGUCCACUUAUAGAUUUAAAAUGCAUGUGGAAAACAUAUCUAAAGGACCAAACAUCGAAACAGUUCAACAGAACAUGAACUGGGUUGGUUUAAGAGAUUACACAGAUGCAUUGGUGGUAAAAAUAACUGUUG